UGGGGAAUAUUGGACAAUGGGCGCAAGCCUGAUCCAGCAAUGCCGCGUGUGUGAAGAAGGCCUUCGGGUUGUAAAGCACUUUUAUCAGGAGCGAAACGCUGUCGGCUAAUACCCGGCGGAACUGACGGUACCUGAGGAAUAAGCACCGGCUAACUUCGUGCCAGCAGCCGCGGUAAUACGAAGGGUGCAAGCGUUAAUCGGAAUUACUGGGCGUAAAGCGUGCGUAGGCGGUUUCUUAAGUCUGCUGUGAAAUCCCCGGGCUCAACCUGGGAAUGGCAGUGGAUACUGGGAGGCUAGAGUGUGUCAGAGGGUGGUGGAAUUCCCGGUGUAGCGGUGAAAUGCGUAGAGAUCGGGAGGAACAUCAGUGGCGAAGGCGGCCACCUGGGACAACACUGACGCUGAGGCACGAAAGCGUGGGGAGCAAACAGGAUUAGAUACCCUGGUAGUCCACGCCCUAAAGCGAUGCGAACUGGAUGUUGGUCUCAACUCGGAGAUCAGUGUCGAAGCUAACGCGUUAAGUUCGCCGCCUGGGGAGUACGGUCGCAAGACUGAAACUCAAAGGAAUUGACGGGGUCAUAGCUGUUUCCUG
rnacentral:rRNA from 1 species